rnacentral:rRNA from 1 species
GACGAACCGUGCGAACGUUGUUCGGAUUCACUGGGCUUAAAGGGCGCGUAGGCGGGCAUGCCAGUCAGGGGUGAAAGCUCCCGGCCCAACCGGGAAAGUGCCUUUGAUACUGCAUGUCUCGAGGGAGGUAGGGGCACGUGGAACUUCCGGUGGAGCGGUGAAAUGCGUAGAGAUCCGGAGGAAUACCAAAGGCGAAGGCACUCUUCUGGGAAGUUCCUGACGCUCAGGUGCGAAAGCUAGGGGAGCGAACGGG